UACGUAGGGUGCAAGCGUUGUCCGGAAUUAUUGGGCGUAAAGAGCUCGUAGGCGGUUUGUCGCGUCUGCCGUGAAAGUCCGGGGCUCAACUCCGGAUCUGCGGUGGGUACGGGCAGACUAGAGUGAUGUAGGGGAGACUGGAAUUCCUGGUGUAGCGGUGAAAUGCGCAGAUAUCAGGAGGAACACCGGUGGCGAAGGCGGUUCUCUGGGCAUGUCCUGACGCUGAGGAGCGAAAGUGUGGGGAGCGAACAGG
rnacentral:rRNA from 1 species